GCGAUCAUAUCAGCACUAAUACACCGGAUCCCACGAGAACUCCACAAUUAAUCGUACAUGGGCGAGAGUAGUACUAGGAAAGGUGACCCCUGGGAAGUCUUCAUGUUGCACCCC